CCCAUUUUCCAGGAAGGAACCCAGAGGCUCCUCAGCUAUACAGCAUGCCAACAGCACUGCCUCCAUCAGUAGCUCACGGAGGAAGGCGUUCAGAUCAGGAAUGGGUGAGACCUUGCAGGAGUCAGCCAGGCAUCCCUCGUGCCAGGGAGAUGACCCAGUGAUGACCCAGCCACUGCCCGUGGAGGGCGGGUGAAAGGUGUCACUAGGUGCGUCGGUUCUGCCUGCAGCCCUAGGGGCUGGGUCCUCGGUGUACUUUUUCCAGAGACAGCACUUGAGAUUGGAAGGACUGGUCAGCUCAGGCUACCAAUUGCUUUUCACUUAGCCGGGUUCUCUAGCCACAGGGUGAGGGUGAGAACACACACACACACACACACACAGACACACACACAGACACAUGCAAGGAGACACACACACAGAGAUGCACACACGCUCACACACACAGGGAGACAUACACACACACACAGAAACACACACGCUCACACACACAGGGAGACAUACACACAGACACAGAAACACACACGCUCACACACACAGGGAGACAUACACGCAGACACAGAAACACACACGCUCACAUACACAGGGAGACAUACACACAGACACAGAAACACACACACACACAGGAGACAUACACACAGACACAGAAACACACGUGCUCACACACAUAGGGAGACAUACACACAGACACAGAAACACACAUGCUCACACACACAGGGAGACAUACACACAGACACAGAAACACACAAGCUCACAUACACAGGGAGGUAUACACACAGACACAGAAACACACACGCUCACACACACAGGGAGACAUACACACAGACACAGAAACAAGCUCACAUACACAAGGAGAUAUACACACAGACACAGAAACACACACGCUCACACACACAGGGAGACAUACACACAGACACAGAAACACACACGCUCACACACACAGGGAGACACACACACAGACACAGAAACACACGCUCACACACAUAGGGAGACACACACAGACACAGAAACACACACGCUCACACACACAGGGAGACACACAGACACAGAAACACACACACACACAGGGAGACAUACACACAGACACAGAAACACACAUGCUCCCACCACACACACAAACACUCACAAACACACAGACACAGAUGCACACAUGCUCCCACCACACACACGCAAGGAGACAUACAGACACACACAUGCUCCCACCACACACACAAGCACUCACAAACACACAGACACAGAUGCACACAUGCUCAUACCCACACACAAGGAGACACACAUCAAAAGACACAUACACAUGAGGAGACAUACACAGAGACACACACAUGCUCACAUGCACGCAGGCACACACAAACACACAGACACAGGCGCGCACACACACAGAGACAGAAAUACACACACACACAGAGAUACACAGACACACACAUGCUCACACACACAAGGAGACACAAACACACAGAAGCACACAUGUUCACACACACAGGCACACACAGAUACAGACAGACACAGAAACACACACACACACAGACAGGAGCACGCAUGCUCACACACAGGCACUCACAGACACAGAAGAAGACAAACACACAGACACAGAGGCACACAUGCUCACUCACAGACACAUACACAGACACAGGCACAGAGACAGACACACGCAUGCUCACACACACAGGCACUCACAGACACAGACACAGGCAUGAUCUCACACACGGACACAGAGGCACACACACAGGCACUCACAGACAUAGACAUAGGCAUGAUCUCACACACAGACACGGAGGCACACAUGCCUACACAGACAUAUGCACACACAGGCACUCACAGACACAGACAUGAUCUCACACACAGACACAGAGGCACACAUGCCUACACAAACAUAUGCACACACACACAGGCACUCACAGACGCAGACACGGGCAUGAUCUCACACACACACACAGAGGCACACAUGCCUACACAAACAUAUGCACACACACAGGCACUCACAGACACAGACACACGCAAGGAGACACACACACAGACACAGACGCACACACGCUCACACACACAGGGAGACAUACACACAGACACAGAAACAAGCUCACACACACAGGGAGACAUACACACAGACACAGAAACACACACGCUCACACACAGGGAGACAUACACACAGACACAGAAACACACACGCUCACACAGGGAGACAUACACACAGACACAGAAACAAGCUCACAUACACAGGGAGACAUACACACAGACACAGAAACACACUCACACACA
rnacentral:lncRNA from 1 species